rnacentral:sRNA from 1 species
AGCAGCCGCGGUAAUUCCAGCUCCAAUAGCGUAUAUUAAAGUUGUUGCAGUUAAAAAGCUCGUAGUUGAACCUUAGGCCCGUGCGGGUGGUCCGUCCUCUGGGCGAGCACUGCCUCGUCGCGGGUCUCACCUUCUGGCGAGCGUGGAUGCCAUUCACUUGGUGUCGGCGGGAACCAGGACCUUUACCUUGAAAAAAUUAGAGUGCUCAAAGCGGGCUCGUACGCUUGAAUACAUUAGCAUGGAAUAAUGAAAUAGGACGACGGUUCUAUUUUGUUGGUUUCCGGGACAGUCGUAAUGAUUAAUAGGGAUAGUUGGGGGCAUUCGUAUUCAAUUGUCAGAGGUGAAAUUCUUGGAUUUAUUGAAGACGAACUACUGCGAAAGCAUUUGCCAAGGAUGUUUUCAUUAAUCAAGAACGAAAGUUGGGGGAUCGAAGACGAUCAGAUACCGUCGUAGUCUCAACCAUAAACUAUGCCGACUGGGAAUCGGGCGAUGUUAUUUUUCGCGACUCACUCGGCGCCCC